ACUGAGAUGUAUGUAGAAGUUGUCAGGUUUUAAGACCCUCUCUCUCCUAAAAACUCCAACUUCUCUCUAGUCUCACACAAAGUUGAUAUCGUCUCCGGUGGCCGGUGAGCAAUUGGCCACCGGUCACCAUCCCCUUUUUGUUUAAGUUCUUUUGAUGUAUCAUAUUAUCGAUCUCUAGAUCGAAUUACCUUUCCGUUACGGAUAAACUUUUCGGUUAGGCGACUUUUGAUGUGGUUUAAUAAAUUUUCGGUCGUUUUGAUCGGAUCUUAGAUAGCAACCUUUCGCCGUGUUCUUUUCAAUUCCAAAGAUUAAGUGUUUGAAAGCUUCACUCAUCGUAUCAAUUGAGCCUCUUUCUAAAAGAAUCAGUCUCUAUCUAUUUUCCUUUUCUAAAAGAAUCAGUCUUAAAGGUAGAGCUUCUUUGAUGGAAGAUGGUCAAGUUAGAAAGGCUUUUUGGGUCACCUUGCAAUAGAUUCAGCAGAGUUGGCGUGAAAACUGUCCGACAAAGAAUCACUUUCAUUCUGACCUAAGCUUCCUCCGGAGUAGCCUCUUCGAUCAAUUAAUCUUGGCUGGAUGCGAAAGGUAUGGAGUGCAAGAAUUAGGUGAUGUGAAGAACUGCUGAGGUCAGAAGGAAGAGUUUCCCCGAUGGCUCACUGGUGGAAAUCGAAGCGGUGGAGAUAGCUUCAUGCACAUCUAGAAGCUGACACGUAGUAGUGCCCUUUAUAAAUGCUUACACGUGUUGUCUUAAGAUCUUUCACUUGAUGUUAUGUAAUCACGUCACUGCAAGAAAUCAUAAGUUUAACGACGGCGGUAUUCCUCGUGAUUUCGUCGUAAAAGAGGGUUUACGAGGAAUUAGCGAGGAAACAGGUUUCGUCUCGUUCGUCGUAACGCAUAUUUCUUCGCCAAUUCGUCGUAACUUAGCGAGGAAAACAUUUCGUCGUAAAGACGAAGUACCAUAUUUCGUCGUAAAGACCACGUAAAUAUUCCACGUAAGAAUAUCGUUAUAUUUCCUUGUAAAUACCUCGAAAGUAGUUCCUCGUAAACUACACGUAUUUAUUUUGAAAGUAUUUCUUUGUAAAGUACACGUAAAUACCUCGAAAAUAAUACCUAGUAAAGUACUCGUUGAAUCUUCC
rnacentral:lncRNA from 1 species